UCCCCGCCCUCUCCCCGCCCCUCCAGAAGGGUGACCCGGCCUCCUCCGCCCGGUUGUGACUGCUGCGGGAUGGCGGCGGCGACACCGACAGAGACACCGGCUCCGGAAGGCAGUGGCUUGGGUAUGGACGCGCGACUGGACCAGGAGACCGCGCAGUGGCUGCGUUGGGACCAGAACCCUUUAACCUCUGAGUCAGUGAAACAGCUCAUUGCUGGAGGUAAUAAAGAAGAGCUGCGGAAAUGCUUUGGGGCCCGGAUGGAGUUUGGGACAGCUGGCCUUCGAGCGCCUAUGGGAGCAGGGAUUUCUCGAAUGAAUGACCUGACCAUCAUCCAGACCACACAGGGAUUUUGCAGGUACCUGGAAAAGCAGUUCAGUGACCUGAAGCAGAGGGGCGUGGUGAUCAGCUUCGAUGCGAGAGCUCACCCCGCCAGCGGGGGCAGCAGCCGGAGGUUUGCCCGGCUGGCUGCGACUGCAUUUAUCACCCAGGGUGUUCCUGUAUACCUCUUCUCUGAUAUAACCCCCACCCCCUUUGUGCCGUACACCGUGUCGCACCUGAAACUCUGCGCAGGCAUCAUGAUCACUGCCUCGCACAAUCCAAAGCAGGACAAUGGCUAUAAGGUCUACUGGGACAACGGAGCUCAGAUCAUCUCUCCCCACGAUCGCGGCAUUUCUCAGGCCAUUGAGGAAAAUCUAGAGCCCUGGCCUCAGGCUUGGGAGGAGUCUUUGGUUGACAGUAGUCCCCUUCUUCACAACCCCAGCGCGUCCAUCGGUAAUGACUACUUUGAAGACCUUAAAAAAUACUGUUUUCACAGAACGGUAAACAAGGAGAGCAAGGUGAAGUUCGUGCACACCUCUGUCCAUGGUGUGGGCCACGAGUUUGUGCAGUUGGCCUUCAAGGCUUUUGACCUUGCUCCUCCCGAAGCUGUUCCCCAACAGAAAGAUCCGGAUCCCGAGUUUCCAACUGUCAAAUACCCGAAUCCUGAGGAGGGCAAAGGUGUCUUGACUUUAUCUUUUGCCUUGGCUGACAAAAUCAAGGCCAAAAUCGUCCUAGCCAAUGACCCAGAUGCUGACAGGCUCGCUGUGGCUGAGAAGCAAGACAGUGGUGAGUGGAGAGUGUUCUCAGGCAAUGAGCUGGGGGCCCUGCUGGGAUGGUGGCUCUUCACUUCCUGGAAAGAAAAGAACCAAGAUCAAAGUAACCUCAAAGACACAUACAUGCUGUCCAGCACUGUUUCCUCCAAAAUCUUGCGGGCCAUAGCCCUGAAGGAAGGCUUUCAUUUCGAGGAAACAUUAACCGGCUUCAAGUGGAUGGGAAACAGAGCCCAACAGCUCGGAGACCAGGGGAAAACAGUCCUAUUUGCAUUUGAAGAAGCUAUCGGAUACAUGUGCUGUCCCUUUGUUCUGGACAAAGAUGGCGUCAGUGCUGCUGUUAUUUGUGCAGAGCUGGCGAGCUUUCUAGCAACGAAGAAUUUGUCUUUAUCUCAGCAGCUAAAUGCCAUCUAUGUGGAGUACGGCUAUCAUAUUACCACAGCUUCAUAUUUUAUCUGCCAUGAUCAGGGCACAAUUCAAAACUUAUUUGGAAACCUGAGAAACUAUGACGGGAAGAAUAAUUAUCCCAAAAUGUGUGGCAAGUUUGAAAUCUCUGCUAUCAGGGACCUUACAACUGGCUAUGAUGAUAGCCAGCCUGACAAGAAAGCUGUCCCAGCUGUUAUGUGGCCCCUGUCUGUGUCCAUUGGUCUUCCUCCACCCCUCCAUGCAGCUGGAUCAUCCUCUGGAUUGAGCGCACAGCUGUCCUCCUCAGAAUGCCGUUUGCCAAGGCUGAGACCCUCACUCCUGAACUCAUGGCUUCUUCCUGUCUUCAUUUUCCUACAUCACAUCUUCUAAGUGUUUUCUGGGACGGUGAAAGUAAAGCUGGGGAGGCCUCAGGGCUGAACAUGUCUUGCCUUUCUCACAUUCCCCAGCCUCAGAGUUUGAAAGCACUGUUCCAUUACUGUCCGGUAACCAGACUCUAUCUUCAGGAUCUACUCAUCUUUGUAGUGAUGGAUGUGUGAUGCGUACAAAGACGUUAACACCGUUCUCGCCAUUCUGUACAAUUGACUUUGUCCCCUCGAUGAAAAAAUCUCUCUCUAAACGCAGUGUUCUAAAUUGUCACAGUAUGUUGGUUAGCAUUUCUCUUUGUUCAGUGUUGUGGUUACUUUUUAAGUGUGACAGACUUUUUGGCACUGCAACAAAAUACCAAAGAGAAGCAGUUUAAAAGAGAAAAGGUUUAUUGCUUCAUUGGUUCAGUUGGUGGUCAUGUGACUCUGUUGCUCUUAGGCCCGUGGCACUGUAGAAGUCUGACAAAGAUGGGCAUGGUAGAAAGAAGCCAUUCACUCUGCUCACUUUACAGACAAGAAGCAGAAAGAAUACAGCGAGGCCAAGUUCUAUAUAUAUACCUCAAAGACAGGUUCCCAGAGACCCACUUCCUCCAAUAGCCCACACCUUCCACAGUUCUACACCUCAGGACUCUACUAAGUAAAGAAUGCAUUAUCAAUGCAUUAAGCCAUUGAUUAGGUCAGAGUCCACAUGGCCUGGGUUUAUCAGGAAAUGCCCUUGGAGACAAGCCCGGAGUGUGCUGUGUCGCUCUUCCAGUAGGCACGUGUUAGCCUAAUCCACUCAUCAUGCUGGGCCUCUGCUCUGGGUUUCCUUUAGGUCUCAGUUUUCUUGGUGAGAUGUCAAGAAAGGGAGAUUGUUGACUGUUUUCUCGAAGAGUCCUUAGGUAGACGCUUGCUCUCCGGGGCUGGUGGCCUUUCUUCUUAAUUUCUAUCUUCUUUUCCUAUUCUUCCUCUUUUGAGGAGUUUUUCUAAUUUUAACUUUUGGUGUUCCUGUUGACUGUUAAUUUCAAUUCUUAUUCCCAAUUUUUCUUUUCAGAAUGGCAUCCUAUUGAUGGUUCCCCCCCCCCCUCCCCGUGUGUGUGUGUGUGUGUAUACUGUACUUUUUUAAAUAUUUUUUUUGAACUAAAAAUAUUUUUUUAUCCAUGUAGCCUUUAUUUCCCCUGAGUUCUGUUUUUGUUGUUGAGGAGUUUUUUUUUUCUACUUGUUUUGGCUUUGUUAUUUACCCGCUGUCUUUCUCUAGGGUCCCCCAGUAUUCUGUGUGUGUAUAUGACAAAUGACCUAGUUCACUCCAGGGAUCUUGAGUAGCAAGCCAACAACAAUUCCUUGGUUUUGGACCUUAGGCUGGUCCAUCUGCUUUCCUAAGGAAUAUAAAGUGGCCUAUCGAAGCCCUAGAGGCGUGGCUAGGGGGCGUAGGUAGGGGCGUGGUUAGAGGCAGGUGGUCUGGGAGGUCAAGUAUAUCCACCAUAGCAUACCCUCCAUGAUGACUGGCGAUCCUAGUUUCUGAGCUGUUCUCAUUCAAGAUCUAGGGAAUGUAAGCACCCCUGGCAGGCAGAGAAAGGCUGCCUUCUCUGGAACAUCUGGUAGCUUCUUUACAACCUUGUCACUGUUUCACCCCUGCCUCACACUGAGCCUUAGCAUACCUAAUGCUUCUAGUUCUUGAGGCCAGAUGGGCGUCUGCAGAGUACAGUGGCUCGGUUUCUUGUUUCUGACCCUCCCAGACAUACUGGGAACCCACAAUCAGGUCUACUUUCUGGCUUUCAUGAUCUGGUAACCUCUCCAUCAAGUGCUGUGGCCUCUCUCCCUCUUUGCCCUUGUGUUUAUACCAGGGAAAGCAUGUUUACAGUAACGUUAGUGACAUCCUGAAAUUAGCAACUUUAAAUAUAUGCCUUAGUUAGGGUUUCCAUUGCUGUGAAGAGAUACCGUGACCGAGGCAACUUUUAUAAAGGACAAUAUUUAGCUGGAGCUGGCUUACAGCUUCUGAGGUUCAGUCCAUUAUCAUCAAGGCAGGAAAAAUGGCAGCAUCCAGGCAGACAUGAAGCUGGAGGAGCCAAAAGUUCUACAUCGUGUUCCGAAGGCAGAUAGGGGAAGACUAUCCUCAGGCAGCUUGGAGGAGGGUUUCAAAGCCCACCCUACACUGACACACUUUCUCCAACAAGGUCACACUUCCUAAUAGUGCCACUCCCUGGGCCAAGCGUAUUCAAACCACCACAAUAUUGAAAUUUUGUACCAGGAAAAAAAAAAUCUCCUUAGGAACUGUUUUUUUGGCCAAAGUUUGCAUUUACAACACUGAGGAAUGAUCUAAUUUUUUGUAGUACAUUAUUGUCUCAGUUUCUUAUGAAAUACCAUAUUUUAAUUUGAACAAAACUUUGAUAACUUUAAUAGAUAUGUAGAAGUAGAAAGCUACACUGUGAAGUUACUUAAUGUUCACAAAUUACUGGGAUUGAGUCUUCUCAUUUUCCCAGGGAUGUUCUUCUGUGGCCCAUAUCCUCGUCUGGUUAUUCGUUUUCUUGCUUAUGUGGGACAGUAAUUCACUAGGUCAGAAAGGGUUGUUGCUGUUUAAAUGUGUGACCUGUACAAAUUAAUCCCUAGGUUCUUCCUACCAGUAAGAGCAGCCAAAUGAUCACCUUCACCUUUGCUAAUGGAGGUGUGGCCACCAUGCGGACCAGUGGGACUGAGCCCAAAAUCAAGUACUACGCAGAGUUGUGUGCUCCCCCUGGCAACAGUGAUCCGGAGCAUCUGAAAAAGGAACUGGAUGAGUUAGUCGGUGCCAUUGAAGAACAUUUUUUCCAGCCACAAAAAUAUAACCUACAGCCAAAAGCAGAAUAAAACAUUCCAGUACUGGAUAGGAUUAAAUUUACCUCCAAUAAACUGAACUUGAUUGUUAAAGCAAUAAUAUUUUAGGGCCAAGUGAUUCAGAUAAUCACCACAAGUAUUUACAUAUUUUCAACAGCUCUAUCUUCCUUGUGAUUUUUUUUUUAAUUAUUAUUAUUUUUAGCCUGAAAAGUGAAUAAAAAAGCUUGGCCAAACCCAACAAACUAACAUCUCUAUGAAAAUGUUAAAUCUGGGCAUUAUCUGAAUUUUUUAAAUAAAGAUUUAAUUUUCUAAAAAGUAGAUUGUAAACAAUAUGCCUUACCUUGCAUACAUACAUGUCUUCUGUGUAACUCUUUGUAUGUGUAGUUAAAAGAGAGAGAAACCAAGAUGGUUCCUAAGUUGUGUCUAGGAUAGUCACUUUAUAGAAAUAUUUAUACCUAUGUUUCUCUCAGUUACUUAUAAAGUAAAAUAAAUGAAAUCAAAUGGGCUAA